GACGAACGCUGGCGGCGUGCCUAAUACAUGCAAGUCGAACGAACUCUGGUAUUGAUUGGUGCUUGCAUCAUGAUUUACAUUUGAGUGAGUGGCGAACUGGUGAGUAACACGUGGGAAACCUGCCCAGAAGCGGGGGAUAACACCUGGAAACAGAUGCUAAUACCGCAUAACAACUUGGACCGCAUGGUCCGAGUUUGAAAGAUGGCUUCGGCUAUCACUUUUGGAUGGUCCCGCGGCGUAUUAGCUAGAUGGUGAGGUAUCGGCUCACCAUGGCAAUGAUACGUAGCCGACCUGAGAGGGUAAUCGGCCACAUUGGGACUGAGACACGGCCCAAACUCCUACGGGAGGCAGCAGUAGGGAAUCUUCCACAAUGGACGAAAGUCUGAUGGAGCAACGCCGCGUGAGUGAAGAAGGGUUUCGGCUCGUAAAACUCUGUUGUUAAAGAAGAACAUAUCUGAGAGUAACUGUUCAGGUAUUGACGGUAUUUAACCAGAAAGCCACGGCUAACUACGUGCCAGCAGCCGCGGUAAUACGUAGGUGGCAAGCGUUGUCCGGAUUUAUUGGGCGUAAAGCGAGCGCAGGCGGUUUUUUAAGUCUGAUGUGAAAGCCUUCGGCUCAACCGAAGAAGUGCAUCGGAAACUGGGAAACUUGAGUGCAGAAGAGGACAGUGGAACUCCAUGUGUAGCGGUGAAAUGCGUAGAUAUAUGGAAGAACACCAGUGGCGAAGGCGGCUGUCUGGUCUGUAACUGACGCUGAGGCUCGAAAGUAUGGGUAGCAAACAGGAUUAGAUACCCUGGUAGUCCAUACCGUAAACGAUGAAUGCUAAGUGUUGGAGGGUUUCCGCCCUUCAGUGCUGCAGCUAACGCAUUAAGCAUUCCGCCUGGGGAGUACGGCCGCAAGGCUGAAACUCAAAGGAAUUGACGGGGGCCCGCACAAGCGGUGGAGCAUGUGGUUUAAUUCGAAGCUACGCGAAGAACCUUACCAGGUCUUGACAUACUAUGCAAAUCUAAGAGAUUAGACGUUCCCUUCGGGGACAUGGAUACAGGUGGUGCAUGGUUGUCGUCAGCUCGUGUCGUGAGAUGUUGGGUUAAGUCCCGCAACGAGCGCAACCCUUAUUAUCAGUUGCCAGCAUUAAGUUGGGCACUCUGGUGAGACUGCCGGUGACAAACCGGAGGAAGGUGGGGAUGACGUCAAAUCAUCAUGCCCCUUAUGACCUGGGCUACACACGUGCUACAAUGGAUGGUACAACGAGUUGCGAACUCGCGAGAGUAAGCUAAUCUCUUAAAGCCAUUCUCAGUUCGGAUUGUAGGCUGCAACUCGCCUACAUGAAGUCGGAAUCGCUAGUAAUCGCGGAUCAGCAUGCCGCGGUGAAUACGUUCCCGGGCCUUGUACACACCGCCCGUCACACCAUGAGAGUUUGUAACACCCAAAGUCGGUGGGGUAACCUUUUAGGAACCAGCCGCCUAAGGUGGGACAGAUGAUUAGGGUG
rnacentral:rRNA from 2 species